GCCAGACUCCUACGGGAGGCAGCAGUGAGGAAUAUUGGUCAAUGGCCGAGAGGCUGAACCAGCCAAGUCGCGUGAGGGAUGACGGCCCUACGGGUUGUAAACCUCUUUUGUCGGGGAGCAAAGAGAGUCACGUGUGACUCAUUGAGAGUACCCGAAGAAAAAGCAUCGGCUAACUCCGUGCCAGCAGCCGCGGUAAUACGGAGGAUGCGAGCGUUAUCCGGAUUUAUUGGGUUUAAAGGGUGCGCAGGCGGAGGUGCAAGUCAGCGGUCAAAUGUCGGGGCUCACCCCCGGCCUGCCGUUGAAACUGGCUUGCUAGAGUGGGCGAGAAGUAUGCGGAAUGCGUGGUGUAGCGGUGAAACGCAUAGAUAUCACGCAGAACUCCGAUUGCGAAGGCAGCAUACCGGCGCCCAACUGACGCUCAGGCACGAAAGCGUGGGUAUCGAACAGGAUUAGAUACCCUUGUA
rnacentral:rRNA from 1 species